AAAUGUAAAUAAUAAUAAUUAUUCGUUAAUAUUUUGGUAUUUUUUAUUUAAUUUGUUAAUUAUUUAAUUUUUUACUUUUUAAGUAGGUUCUGUACAAUAUGUUCAUUGUUCACUGUCGUGUGCAGUAUACAAAUUACAAAUUUAAACAGUUCACCUCAAAUUGUCGUAAAAUGUAUCUACAAAGAAUUAAAACCAUUGCAAAAACCAAGUUAAACUUAAUAUGCCAUUUACAAGUUACAACAAUCAUAUUCAAACCUUCAUAACUCAAAUCAUGUACAAUAUUGACAAUCAUGUAUCGAGAAAGAAUUAACACUAUUGAAAAAACAAAGUUGAAAUUUUGCACUACUAUUACUACUAUCUAGUAUCUUCUUUCCACAACAAUCACACUCAAACCUUCAUAACACAAAUUCAGCAAAACAGAUUUUUCAGAACUAAAAUAACAGUGACUAACAUGGACUACUCAACAUCUAUUCUUCAGUUCAUAGUUUCAUACAUCUAUUAUGGAAACUAACCAUAUAUCUACCCAUCAUAAGUACUUUUUACCAUUAAGGUUAUAUUUUGUAAAUUUAUGUAUAUUUGUGUUCUUACUUAUAAUAAUUUUAUAAGUAAUUAAUAUGUUAAUUUUAUUUAUCAACGAUACUUCUUCAACAAUUAUCAAAGUUGUUAGGUAUUCUGUAUUAUACGGGUUUCGCUAAAUAGUUAUUAUUAGAUAUUAAUAUUUACUUCAUUUAUUAUGUAUAAAUUCAAUGUUACCCAAGUACUGAAGUACUACAAUAGUCCAGUUUUAGUAAACCUCUGUAAUGGUAAGCAUUAACAAGUUCAAUGUUAAUUUUCUCUAUUGAAUUACAUAACUACUUACACAGUAUUUCAGAAUGUAAUUACUUAGUUAAAGAAACCAUUAGAAAACUUAGCUUUUUCAGUUAAAUAGUAAAGAAUAUUAUGUUAAGUUAAACUCAUGUCUUAUGUUUAUAAAUAUAUACUAAUUUACCAAUUAUUUUUUUGUUAAAUCACACUCUGUUAACAGUUGACUAAGUCUAAAUCCAACACUAGAUGGCGCUGAACAUAUAAUUGUUUUAAUUAGUUAAAAAAUUUAAUUUAUUUCAUAAUUACUUUAAAAUUAUUGUACACCAAUACACCAUUGUUUAACUUUUAUUCAAU